UACGAAGGUCCCGAGCGUUGUUCGGAAUCACUGGGCGUAAAGGGUGCGUAGGCGGCGGGGCCAGUCUGAUGUGAAAUCCCGGGGCUCAACCCCGGAACUGCAUUGGAUACUGCCUUGCUAGAGUACUGGAGAGGGAACUGGAAUUUACGGUGUAGCAGUGAAAUGCGUAGAGAUCGUAAGGAAGGCCGGUGGCGAAGGCGAGUUCCUGGACAGUUACUGACGCUGAGGCACGAAGGCCAGGGGAGCAAACGGG
rnacentral:rRNA from 1 species